rnacentral:lncRNA from 1 species
GGACUGAGGCGGAUCCAGAGGGCACAUCACAGCUGGACGCUCAGAACAGAGGUCCCGGGGCCAGCCAGGGUCCUUGGCCUGAGUCAUGGCAACAGAAGCCAAUCGAGCAGCCACAGUUACCCCCAGGUCUGGAGCUGAAGGGCUCCCUCCGUGGCAGGGCCUCAGCCACCCCCAGCCUGGCCAGACAGAUCAACCCCAGAAAGUCCCGCCCCAGGAGAAGCCCAGGAGGAGGAGCCGCCGUCUCAAGGAGCUGGGGGGCCAGUCACCUGCCCCUCUCCUGCCCAGGCCUGCCAUGUUGUCGUCGCUCUGCUGUACGUGUUCCUUGGGGGUUACCUGGCCGCCAUCGUCCAGAGCCUUCACCUGGUGGUGCUGAAGUCUUGGUAUCCGUUCUGGGGGGCUGCUUCUGUGAGUAGAGGCCAAAACAUUGGCCCAAUGGGGGUAGGGAGAGCUGGCGACCCUGGGAACCGGAUGCAGGGUGGGGCAGAGGGAGCCGGUAGGAGGACAGCAGCCUCAGUGCCUUUCUCAGUCCUCCCAGCUCUGCCUCUGCUCUCUUGGUCACACUGGAAGUAGCGCCGUCUCCUAAUUCACACGGGGGCCCAGCAGAGAGGAGGGUGAACAUGAGCUGGGGAGCUACCUGCAGCUUCUUCAGGCUUCUGGGCAGCCAGGCACCUCCGGAUCCAGCCACCCAUCCCUGGUGCCCAAAGUCUCUGUCAGGGUCCAGCUGCAGGGCACAAGGAUGUAAGACCCAGCUCCGGUCCUCCCAAGGCCAUCAGCCAGGGCGGGCGAUGAGAGAAGGGCAGGGAGCACCUUCCUGGAGGCCCUCCAGGGUAUCCUCCCCACCCCCCACCCCCCCAUCCUGGCGGGGUCCCACUCACACACCAAGUCCCAGCUCCUCAGCACCCCUCGGGCAGGUGUCCCAACUCUUCCUGCUGUCACUUCAGUCCUCUUUCCCCUCUGCACCCCACCCCCAGAGCUUUCAGUGCAUAGGGAAGGGAACCAUCUCUGCAUCACCUCGACUGGUGCAUAGCAGGCGCUCAGUGCACAUGUGAUAGAAUAAUUGCAGAAAAACACCAGAGACCCCAGAACCAAGAGCGAAUAUCCUCCAAACGACAGGACCCAGGAAAGGAGCAAGGGUCGGCGCAAAGGGGGCAGUGCAGCUGAUCCCCACGGGAGGGUCUGGGCUGGUGAAAGGGGGAAGCGAGGGGACCAGGAGGGCAUUCUUGAGCCCAGGAGGGAAGGUCCGUGCACACAGGGAAGACCAGCCUGGCUGGAGCGUGAUCUGUGGGCAGGGUGAGCCCCCUUUGUUGGAGGAAUGGUGUUCUCUGCCCCACCAGCCACCAGAGAUUGAUUUUCUAAGAGCAUAGCAGGAAGGGAAUGUGUGAGUUUCAAGGAACCCCAGCUUCUCUCUUAUGACUGUUUCAAAUCUGGUCCGCAGUUCCUCAUUUCAGGGAUCUUGGCAAUAACAAUGGAGACAUUUCAGAAAAAUUACCUGGUAAGUCACAGCGUUGAGAGUGUUCCCUUCCAUCCCAAGCCUGGGGUAACUUUUCAACGGGCAUCGUUUGGAGUGCGGACUCAAGAGGCAUCUCUCCAGGAUUUGCUAGACGUGGGCACCAGCCUCUGGGACAGCAGAGGGCGUCCGGGCUGAAUGGUCCCCCUUCCUGGAGGUCUGACCUCACACCCUGACUCCCGCCUUUCUCUCCACCUGCUGCCCUCUCCCCACCCCGGUUCUGGCCUAGAGACAGGCAUCAUCCAGCCUAUUGAUGGUAGCCUUGGAGAUUGUUCUGCCAGCCCUACCUUGGCCCCCUGGGCCCCGCCAUCAUACUCCCUACCCCACCCCACCCAAGGCUUGCCUCCAACAUCAGCAAGUCUACCUGCCUGCAGGCUGGACCGCAGCUGGGUUUCCAUAUACGUCUCACCUCUAAGCGCCAGCUGGACACAAGUGGUCCCCCCUGUGCUCUGUGCUGUCUUGUGCCCAGGCACCUUGCCUCUCCCCACUGUGCAUGUUCUCCUGGCUUUGACUUCCUCCUGAUCAUUCUUCAAGGUGCACUUUACAUGCCUCCUCCUCCAGGCAGUCUUCCCUGACCUGCCCUGGCUGGCUCCUGUGUCCCCACAGCUCCUUGGACUUCUCUGUCUCCUUUCUCUCUCAGGCACUAAGCUUGGGCAGCAACUGCCUGAGCAUCUUUCUAGCCCGAGGCAGCCCAGGGAGGCACAGAGUGGACACCCACAUGAGCCCAAGUGGAUGGAGGUGGAUGGGGGCGGGAAGGACCAUCCCAUCCACCCUGUGUCAUGGCCUCAGCACCCCCUCCACCCCCAAGCCCUGGCUGGGUCCACAUUCAUGCCUCCCAUUGCUGAUGAACGGGGAUGGCCUGUCUCUUCUGUGAAUUCACAGGAUCUGAUGGAAAAAAGGGAAGACUCGCCAUCCAGCUUCUCCACUUCCCACCACCUCCCUCUCCCCAAGGGGCAGGGCAGCCCAGGCAUGGUCCCUUGCUCCUCCCUGGCUUGUGCUCUGGCUGUCCCCACCGCCCUCUGUCCGCAGGAGCAGUCUUUGCUGGGGCUGGGGACGUGGAGUAUGGGGCAGGGUGUGGUGCAUCCGAGCUCAUUCAGCCAGGACGUGCGCAAAACUCAUCUCGGUCAAGCGCCAAGGCCGGCUCACAUUCGUGCCUCCCAGACCGGGCUGGACUGGCUGCCCCCUGCCCUCUUGGGGUGUAGCAGACAAAAGCAUGUUGUGCCACUUACCCAGCAGAGGCAGGGAUGCUUGGCAGAAACCUGGCCAUUCCUCCUGGGCUGGGCCCCUUCCAGACCCAUAAGCCUACCCCUUCCUACACCUGAACGCGGGGAGCCUCUCAUUGCAGAGAAAUCCAUUCUAGCAUAAGAGGUUGGGGUGCCUUAUGUUUAUACCCUUUCCCCAUUAUAGGGGUUUGUACUUGGCAAGAAUCCUGUGGAAUAAGGUGAGACCCAAGACGAUGAGGAAUGAGGCAUUUCCGGGGCUAUGGUGGGCAGGGAAGGGGGUGACCUGAGUGAGUGAAGAUAGGGCACCUUCGGGGCUCAUCCCACCUGGGUCGGGGGGCCAUUUGGGUGUCGAGACUCUGAUCAGUUAGCAUAUCUGCUGCCAGGAUGACUGGGAACAGCUUGGAGAGAAAGACGGCAGAGCAGGGGGUGGGGGCUUCCUUCCUUAUUGCAAAGCCUGUGGAUCCAGAGGUGGUCCUUGCAUUCUCUGGGUCCCAUCCCAUAGAAGGCGAGGGCCAGUUGGGGCUCCUCGUGGUCAGCCAGCUCAGAAAGCUGUGUGUGGGUGAACUUCUGGCCCAGAGACAGGCAGCAUUUUCCUGAGGUCACAAAGUGAGCUACUGGCUGGCCUGCGUGGAGGACCGAGGACUCAUCUCUGACCUUUGGACUACAGCUGUCACUCUUUUUUUGCUUGUAGGCGGCGUGCCUGACAGCAAAUGCCAUCAGCUUCUUCUGUGUGCUCUGUGGCCUCUUUGUCAUCGCCAAGGAUCUCUUUCUGGAGAGCCCAUUUGACUUCCCUGUCUGGAAACCAUACCCCAACGACACAGUCCACAUCCAGAGGCUGGUGCUGGCCCUGCUCUGCGUCACCUGCCUGGAGGUCUUCCUGCCGGGGCUCAUGGCCAUCCUGGCUUAUAGGGAUACCCGCCUGGCUGCAGAGAAGGAUGACCUGUCCCUUGGCCCUGACAUGCUGUUGGAGCUCAGGGGGUCUCCGAUGACACCUCCACCAUCCUAUGACGAUGUGACUAAAGGCAACGGGUGGCAGGAGCAGAAGCAGAUGUGAAGAGGCACUGGCUCCACGCACCAUCAGAAUUCACCCACUGGUCCCUUGUCCUGGACAGAUUAAGGACCAAUUCCAAGGGGCGGUUACCAGAAGGGGGCAAACGGUACCAUGGCUAAAAACGUCUGCCCCAUGCUGGUGGCCAGGGAGGGGAAGUCCCCAUUCUGUCUGGCAUGGGAGGGACCUCCAGGUCCCCACGCCCCGUAACAUCCCAGCUGGACCAGAACACAACUGGGUCCUGCCCACCCACCCAGGCAGACACGGGAACAGACCCCUGGGUCCGCAGCCCCCUCCCCCACCCUCCUUGUCUGCUUCCCCCAGUCCCUGGUGGGCACAUAGACAUCCUGUCCACGUGGGGCUGUGCCUGAAGAGGAGAAGGGUCCUCAGAGCCCAGAUGGGCACCGUUUUCCCUGGACUCGACCUACCAAGGGGUCUCUACAAACACUUGUGUUUGAAUCCCUGGAUUCGGGGUGGAAACAGCAGGGGCAAUCAGACAGAAACUAUGACCAGUUCUUCCUCCCAAACCAUCAGCAUGUCUCCCCGCCCCCACCCCGGGGCCUCAGUGUCUCCAUCUGUACAGGGAAGGGGCGGGUGGAAGAUGUGACCAGGACCUACCUGCUGGGAAGUUCUGAGAUCAGAGUCAAGUUCACUCAAGGUUAUCAAGGAAGCAUCAGCAUCAGAAUUCCACACCUCCUUGUGCUGAGCGAAUAGUGGGGAGAGAGACCUACCUUCCUCAUUUCCCAAAUUUUCAGUCAUCCAAGGGCCGACCUUACAAAUUUGGUCUAUUUGUGGACUGUGCUGUAUUCCCUUUAUGUUCCCUUAAAUUGCCUUUUUUUCUCAUGCACUAUUAUGUGAGGGGUAAUUUGCAUCAGCAACAAACAGGAAGUCUGUACCUAUCCAUACAAAGAAGCCAACCACAAAAAUCACGUAAACACGGUAAAAAUAAAACAAAAGCAACUUGUCGC